ACUGGAGAGGCAAGGGGAAUUCCCCGUGUAGCGGUGAAAUGCGUAGAGAUGUGGAGGAAUACCCGUGGCGAAGGCGCCUUGCUGGACAGUGACUGACGCUGAGGCACGAAAGCGUGGGGAGCAAACAGGAUUAGAUACCCUGGUAGUCCACGCCGUAAACGAUGAGUGCUAGGUGUUGGGGGUUCAUCCCCUCUGUGCCGAAGGAAACCCAAUAAGCACUCCGCCUGGGGAGUACGGUCGCAAGACUGAAACUCAAAGGAAUUGACG
rnacentral:rRNA from 1 species